rnacentral:rRNA from 1 species
GAUGAACGCUGGCGGCGUGCUUAACACAUGCAAGUCGAACGAGAGAAGAUCGGUGCUUGCACUGAUCCGAUCGAGUGGCGGACGGGUGAGUAACGCGUGGGUAACCUGCCUCAUACAGGGGAAUAACAGUUGGAAACGGCUGCUAAAACCGCAUAAGCGCACAGUAUCGCAUGAUACAGUGUGAAAAACCCCGGUGGUAUGAGAUGGACCCGCGUCUGAUUAGCUAGUUGGUGAGGUAACGGCCCACCAAGGCAACGAUCGGUAGCCGGCCUGGGAGGGUGACCGGCCACAUGGCGACUGAGCCACGGCCCAAACUCCUGCGGGAGGCAGCAGUGGGGAAUGUUGCACAAUGGGGGAAACCCUGAUGCAGCGACGCGGCGUGAGGUAUGAAGUAUUUCGGUAUGUAAAGCUCUAUCAGCAGGGAAGAUAAUGACGGUACCUGACUAAGAAGCACCGGCUAAAUACGUGCCAGCCGCCGCCGUAA